ACGACGCUGGCGGCGUGCCUAACGCACGCAAGUCGAGCGAGAAAGUCCCUUCGGGGGCGAGUAAAGCGGGGACGGGUGAGUAAUACAUGGAUAAUCUUCCUCGAGCCUGGGAUAACCCUGCGAAAGUGGGGCUAAUACCGGAUAAGACCACAUGACACAUGUCACGGGGUAGAAGGUGGCUUGUAUUUAUAUGAGCUAUCACUUGAGGAUGAGUCCAUGGCCUAUCAGCUAGUUGGUGAGGUAAGAGCUUACCAAGGCUAUGACGGGUAGCUGGUCUGAGAGGACGACUAGCCACACUGGGACUGAGACACGGCCCAGACUCCUACGGGAGGCAGCAGUGGGGAAUAUUGGGCAAUGGGCGAAAGCCUGACCCAGCGACGCCGCGUGGGUGAUGAAGGCCUUCGGGUUGUAAAACCCUUUCGUGCGGAAAGAAUAGUCUCGUAGCGAAUAACUAUGGGAUUUGACGGUACCGCAGGAAGAAGCACCGGCUAACUCCGUG
rnacentral:rRNA from 1 species